ensembl:lncRNA
GAGGAAACAGCCACAGAGAUCAUACACUCUGAUCCUUUUUGUAGGGAGCAUCUAGACCAGGCCAAGCUCCAGGGACCAAAAGAAGCACAGUGGUUGACUCGCAGGGGCUGGGGACAGGGGAACUGGGAGGGACUGGUACUGAAGGGCUUUUCCUUCCCUCCAGAGUGACAGAAGCAUCCUGGAAUUAGAUAAGGGUGGGUUGUAAGACCUUGUGACUUACUGAGAGCGAGGAAUCUGAGCCUCCUGAGGUCCUCCCUUCACAGCCCUUCAGGGCAGCACCCAGCACAGCAUGGCUGCUCUUCUGACUGCUGAUCACGGCUCGAGGUCCAGGCAUGCAGCACUGAGCAAGAGCUCCACCAUCGCUGUGCAGGGCUGUCCGCUCCUCAGAGGCGUGCACGGAGUCUGUUUAGUGAGUCCCAAGCAGAGCACUCUGUGUCUGCCUGGGGGGACAGACUGGCCAAGGACGAGGGGUGCACAGGACGUCAGAGGUGAGCACAGUGCAAAGUCUGGAUGCCAGAAAGCUGUCUGCAAUCGCUGGUAAGAUGCGUCAUUCAUGGAUUUUGGAAGACCUGGCUCAUCACUCCAGAGCCCCAUCCUAUAGACCUGCAGAAGCAACAUGUGAGCCAGAACUUGCCACCUCUUGGCUCCACAGGACGUCCUGGGCCACCUUAAGUGAGUUUUACUCUUGUGUAACAGAGCCUAUUUGAAUCGAAAUUUAACCUUGUUUUCAUUUAAGCCUUUUCCCAGACCAGCUCUCUGCAGAUAUUUUGGUCUUUAGGUUAACGCCGUGGCAUCUUGUAGUCAUUUCCGUGAUUCUCCCUGUUACUUUCUGGUGAAUGCCCAGGUCUACUUGGGGUUCUCUGUUUUGAGUUCCCUGCACCAACACUGCCCAGUACCAUGGCCACCAGCCAGGUGUGACCUCCAGACACUUAACUUCGGUGUCACACUCCGGAUUGGAAGACCCCUGAGUGUGACGUGCGUGCCACAUUUCAGACCCUUCCAGUCAUGUUUUAAAGUUUGGUUUCAUGUUAAAUGAUACUACUGAGGGUAUGUGGGUUCAAUAAAACUUAUUAAAACUCAUUUCGCCUGCACCUACUGCUUUUUCAACAUGGCCAGUAGAGGAUUUCAGAUGCACACUGGCUUGCAUGCCGUUUCUGUUGCACGGCGCUGCUCGGAGGUGUGCUUCUCGAGAAACCAGCUUACUGCACACAUAGGGAGGAGCCCCGGGCCUGCAAGGCUCGCCACCCCUCAGGUUGUAAUGUGGCUGAGGCCAGCGGGAGCAUCCUUCAGUGUGGAUGCAGCACAUGCCCGUGGCCUUAGUUAGCAAGGUGGCCUGCUCUUGUCACUUCACUGUCCGCACGGGUCAUCCAGUGAGCCUGGAAGGAGUCGAGCCAAGAUCCAAGUCGCCGUCGUGGCGGUACGCCAGCCUUUCCCGGUGUGGGCUCAUCCACCAGCUUAGCAGGCCGUGCCCGCGGCCCGGAAGGCAGCCGAGCUGGGUCACCUCCCGGGUCUCGCUGGCCCUGGGAAGAGCAGCACUGCCGGCCAACAGCCCAUUGCAGCGACUUCGGGUCAGCAACUCACCGCGGCGUGCACCGGACAACCGCCGGCCGGGACCCAGUCAGCAGCGGGAUGCAGCCCCCUCGCCGCGUCAGUGUGCCGGGUCCUGAGCUAGGAAGACUCGGCCGGAAGGGCCGCGCUUUCGGACGAGCGAGCCGCCGCCGCCGCACUCGGCCUAGAUUGAAAACCACCGCGCUAGGUGAUGCGAAGGAGGAAGUGCCACCGCAACCAGGCCGCAAAUCCCAGAGUGCUUUCCGCCGACCCCGGCGCGGCCGGGCGCGGUCUCAGCUUCGUUCACGCCUUCGCGGGGUCAGGCGCCUCUCCGGGCCCCAGGGUGUUCCUAACCCGUUCUUGCAGGACCUGCUCUUUCCGGCUCUGGCUCCCCCGGAUCCCGUCGUGCUCCUGCCCUUUCCCGCUGGACCGUGAGCGGCCUGGGCGUGCUGUCGGCCGGCUUCCGGCGGUGAGAUCCAAAUCGCAGCGGCUCCGAGCGUCCGCACCCCUGCGGCCGGCGCUCCCAGGCCCUGGCUCCAGGACCGCGCCGGCCCGUGGACAGGCGUCCGCACUGCUGCCUCCGCGGCCUAGAGACAGAGGCCGCGCCUGCCAAUCCUUGAGUAGUAGUUCUUUACAUCCCUUGCGUUUGAAAAUAGGCUCGGUAUUACUAAAGGAACCCUUUAAGGAUGAUUGAAUAAAAGGUUUGCAGCCUAACGAUAAACGUCUCGGGUGUAAGUGCGGCAGACAGAGCGGGUCCAGUGGCAUGUGGCUCUAGAAUGAAAUGAUACACUCUGUAUGCGGGAGAGGGCAUGGGAUUGUCAUAGGGAGACUAUUCCGAACAGAAGAAAAGAAAAUGAAACAGUAAAAGAAGAUACAGGUCUCUAAGAUGGGGUCACAGGGAGUUUCAGAGGGGAGAGAGAACACCCAGGUCACGG